UAGGAAAUAUUAGUAAUGGGCGAAAGCCUGAACUAGCAACGCCGCGUGUGCGAAGAAGGCCUUCGGGUUGUAAAGCACUUUUUGAGAGGAUGAGGAAGGACGGUACUCUCAGAAUAAGUCUCGGCUAACUACGUGCCAGCAGCCGCGGUAACACGUAGGAGGCGAACGUUAUCCGGAUUUACUGGGCGUAAAGCGCGUGUAGGUGGUUUGGUAAGUAGGGCGUGAAAGCUCCUGGCUCAACUGGUAGAGGCCGUUCUAAACUGCCGAACUAGAGGAUGGUAGAGGGAGGUGGAAUUCCGGGUGUAGCGGUGGAAUGCGCAGAUUUCCGGAGGAACACCAGUGGCGAAAGCGGCCUCCUGGACCAUUCCUGACACUCAGACGCGAAAGCUAGGGUAGCAAACGG
rnacentral:rRNA from 1 species